CAUUAUCAUUUCAUUUUGCUGAAUUUUAAAAGAAGAGAAUAGAAGGUGAAGAAGAGGAGCAAAAGGGGAACAAGUGAGAGCUAGGGUUUGAAGAAUCAAAGAGGUUCUGGAGUUAGUAGCUCGCGUGUGAUCUUAGUCGGAGUUUCUUCUGAGUUAUUUGGAGAUUAGGUAGUGAGUCGAUGCUCUGGUCAUGUAACACUGGGUAGACUAGUUAUUUGAACUCAUUUUUCUAUUCGGUUAUGUAUUACGUUUGAUUUGAGAACAUGUCAUGUUACUACUUGUUGUUUGAUAGGCUCUUAAGCCAAAUAUUCUGAAUUAUGUUUUAAUUUAUGUUGAUAUGACUAUUGAGACUUGAUCAUGGUAUGGGACAUGGAUCAUUUUAUGAAACACAUGAGUAUUUAGUAGUU